rnacentral:rRNA from 1 species
AUGAGUAGUUGUAGGUGCAACUUCGGAAAAGAGAAUCUGCCUUACUUUGUCCGUGUCAACAAACAAUUCGAAAUACCUUGACUUUUUCAGAACAGGUCCGAGUCAAAUAGCAAUGAUUCGAAGCACUUCUUUUUCCAUUACACUAUUUUGGAAACCCAAUUUACUGCUUCUUCUCCGCUAAUAAAACCUACUCCUUCAACUCGCUCUAAAAAAUUGGAUUCUGUGUAA